AUCUAUGUCCAUACCACCCUAAAAGUGCACGACCUCAUGUGAUCUCAGAUCCUAAGCAGGGUCAGGCCUCGAUAGUACUAGAAUGGGAGAAAUAAACAUGAAAAUACAGGGAUAUAAAAA
rnacentral:rRNA from 1 species